GUCGAGACGGGGGUAUCCCUGACCUCCAUCCAGAGCUGUGAGUCUCCACCUCCACACGCCCGUUUCAACAUAGUGGCCACAUCUGAGCUGAGGACCUUGGCAGCAGGAGCUGAGGAGGAUGGGGGUUGGAGGCCCUGAAAAUAAAAGCAGUGGACACAAAGGCAUCUGGUGGAUUCACAGUUUUUACAAGCUUCCUUCUGCCUAGCAGUCAAAGAUCAAAGAACAUGGAACGGUGGCGUAGGCAAAAGGACACUUACAAGGUGAAGAUAUUUAAUAGUAAUCUAGUACAGUCUGUUUGACAAGAUUGCCUUAGUUCAUUCAGAAGGCCGGCACACCAAUCUCCAAAAAAACAUAAUAAAAAAGCAAACUGAA